GAUGAACGCUGGCGGCGUGCCUAAUACAUGCAAGUCGAGCGAACAGAUGAGGAGCUUGCUCCUCUGACGUUAGCGGCGGACGGGUGAGUAACACGUGGAUAACCUACCUAUAAGACUGGGAUAACUUCGGGAAACCGGAGCUAAUACCGGAUAAUAUAUUGAACCGCAUGGUUCAAUAGUGAAAGACGGUUUUGCUGUCACAUAUAGAUGGAUCCGCGCCGCAUUAGCUAGUUGGUAAGGUAACGGCUCACCAAGGCAACGAUGCGUAGCCGACCUGAGAGGGUGACCAGCCACACGGGAACUGAGCCACGGUCCAGACUCCUACGGGAGGCAGCAGUGGGGAAUAUUCGACAAUGGGCGCAAGCCUGAUCCAGCACCGCCGCGUGGGUGAAGAAGGUCUUCGGAUUGUAAAGCUCUUUUAUUGGGAAAGAAAAGAUGCAGGUUAAUCCCCCCCUGUUUUGACGGUCCCUAAAGAAUAAGCCCCGGCUAACUUCGUG
rnacentral:rRNA from 1 species